ensembl:lncRNA
CACACACACACACACACACACACACACACACACACACACACACCCCUCCUCCACUCCCUCACACACACUCAUCAUCCUCUCCCUCCCUUCCUCGCUCGCAGACUUCACUUCACACUCCUCUCCUGCCUGAGGUCCCAGCAGUGUGUGUCUGCCCUUCAGCUCCAGCUCCAGCCCGCUCUUCGUCUCUCUCCUCCUCCUCGCUCAGCGUGUGUGUGCCAGACACCCAGAGAGUGUGUGUGACUAAGAGACAGCGCUCCGCAGAAGGCUUAUUUUCGGACCCAAACCGGCAGCAUCGUUUGGAGCCGCUGCCCCUGUCGCUGGUGAUCUGUGCCCUGAGUGCGGAGACCUUCAACAGACACACACACACAGACACACACACACACACGCGCGCGCUUUCACACAUUCGGGUCCAAGAUGAAAAUCCAGCUCCUACUCCUGCUGGCCCUGGCCGGACCCCUCUUCAGCGUUGCUAACGCAAGUACACUGGUGGUCCCCACGGCGGAGGAUCUGGCGGAGGUGACGGCGGCUCCUGCUGCUCCUGAGGCAACCGCCGCUCUCGAAGUCGCCGCCGAGGAACCCCGUCGCGCCCGAAGAGGAAGCUCCCGUUGCCACGGACGCGCCGGCCGAAGCCGAAGCCGCGCCCGCAGCCGAAGCCACUGAAGCCGCUCCGGAGGAAACCGCAGCCGUCGAAGAGGCGGCCGUCGAAGAGGCGGUGACGGAGGCCCCGGUCGCUGCUGAAGAGGCGGAGGUAGAAGUGGCCCCGGCCGAGGUCGCUCCUGAGGAACCGGUCGCCACCGACGCCCCCGUAGAACCCGCCGCAGAACCGGAGGCAGAACCGGAGGCGGAACCCGCAGCGGAACCCGAGCCUGAGCCAGCAGCAGAACCUGCGCCAGAGGAGCCUGCCGUAGAACCCGCCGCAGAACCCGCCGCAGAACCGGAAGCAGAACCGGAAGCAGCAGCAGCAGAGGAGGCACCUGAGGGGGAUGUGACGGUGGAGGAAGAAGGGAUGGGCUCAGGCCAGGUCGUGGGGAUUGUGAUUGGUGCUCUGAUUGCUGUGAUUGUGGUCAUCGUGAUCAUCGUGGUGGUUGUGCGGAGGAUGGGCCAGUACUCCCCUUGAGAAGGAAGGCGGCUCGACAGGAACCUCCUCCAAAGAAGUUCUGGAUUUUCUGAACUACUGAAUGAUGUCACUUCCUGUCGAAAUAUCUAAGCAUGCUCCAAGCACUCUAACACAUCCAGGAUCCUGGACUAUCGCCAAACGGAGGAGGCAGACCCCCCUGUCCCCCCCCCCCCCCCCCC